rnacentral:rRNA from 1 species
GUGGGGAAUAUUGGACAAUGGGCGAAAGCCUGAUCCAGCCAUGCCGCGUGUGUGAAGAAGGUCUUCGGAUUGUAAAGCACUUUAAGUUGGGAGGAAGGGCAGUAAGUUAAUACCUUGCUGUUUUGACGUUACCGACAGAAUAAGCACCGGCUAACUCUGUGCCAGCAGCCGCGGUAAUACAGAGGGUGCAAGCGUUAAUCGGAAUUACUGGGCGUAAAGCGCGCGUAGGUGGUUGUGUAAGUUGGAGGUGAAAUCCCCGGGCUCAACCGGGGAACUGCCUCCAAAACUGCAUGACUAGAGUACGGUAGAGGGUAGUGGAAUUUCCUGUGUAGCGGUGAAAUGCGUAGAUAUAGGAAGGAACACCAGUGGCGAAGGCGACUACCUGGACUGAUACUGACACUGAGGUGCGAAAGCGUGGGGAGCAAACAGGAUUAGAUACCCGAGUAGUCC